rnacentral:rRNA from 1 species
AUGGUGGCGGCGGGGCCUCGGUUGCCCCGCUCCUGUGUGGGGAACCUCGGAUCUGGAGCGGCGGCUCCAUUGGCAAGGCACGGCCGGCUACAACUGUGCGGGUGGUGGAUCUGGUAUCCCGGCCGCGCGGGCGGCGCGAUCCGGUGGUCGUUGACGGCCGGCGGCGGCUUCUGCUGCGGUCGGUGUGCGCGAUCUGGCGCGUCCCUUCCUCCCCUGUUCGGCGUGCGGGCCAGUCUGGUCGGGCCGCGCUUCCUCUUGGUCGCUGGUUCUGUACAGGAGGUGUUGCUGGUGGCGGAGAUCUGUUUCGGGCGAAAUCCCUGGCCGGCCAUGACCGGCCGCGCCGACGGGGACGCCUGA